AAUUGUUCAAUUUUACGGGUCUUAAAGAACAUAACUAAAUAAAAUUUUAACAAUUGUACAUACAAAGUUUUACUAACAAAAUAUACUAUUCAAAUACUGAUUAAAUCAAAUUUAUUAUACGAAUAAGUUUUACCGAUAAACUAUAUUAUGUAUCAAACUAUAUAAAUCAUAUGUAAUUCACGGGUUAUUCUGCUAAACUCACAACUAUAUAAUAGUUAUAAAUUGGUUAUUCAAAACAUAUAUAUGUUACAAACAUAUGUAUAAUUCACCACAAUCAACUCCAUUUAUUUAAUACAGCUUCAUGCACUAACCAUACUCGCGACUGUUUUUGGAUAACAUUUAAUACAAAGUUAUUAGAAAAAUUAGUUACGGAAAUAGUAAAAUCAUAAUCUAAAAAUGUUAUAUUUGUAUCACUUAAUUAGUAAAUUAAAACAUAUUAACAGAUAACUUUCCUCCGCGCUGUAGUGCGGGUCUAAUUCUAGUUAUAAGUCUAAUCGAAGACAUACAUAUCUGAGGUUUAAAAUUUUCCUCUGUUUCCUUUUGUUAUGUUAAGAGAGACUCUAAUAGUUGAAAAGACCCAACCCAAAAAAUUUUAGGGUUUGAUUGGUAACGUGCAGAAAGCUGUACAAAAACGCUGUAAGCUGUUAGUGAAUAGUGCAAAGCUGUAAGAUAAAACUAUACAUGAAAGCUGUAAAAAAUCUGAAAAUACACAGUUUUUAGAAAAAUAAAAAGAUACAAAUAUAUAUAAAAAUAACAUAAAACUGUUGUUUAGUAAUUUGGUAACAUAGAUGUAACAUAAUCAUUUCUUACGUUCAUAAUCAUUUCUUACGUUCAUAGUAAUUUGGUAACAUAGAUGUAACAUAACUGAUUAUCUUGACAUUUAUUUUUAUAUAAAAAAAUACCUUAAUUGGAAGAAUCGUAGUUACUUACUUAAAACGUUUUUUCCAAAUUUUCGUACAGAACAAGAAGAAAAGGAAAGAAAAACUACAUUUACAAACAAUGAGCAUAUAGUUACAU
rnacentral:lncRNA from 1 species